GGGACACGUGGUAUCCUGUCUGAAUAUGGGGGGACCAUCCUCCAAGGCUAAAUACUCCUGACUGACCGAUAGUGAACCAGUACCGUGAGGGAAAGGCGAAAAGAACCCCGGCGAGGGGAGUGAAAAAGAACCUGAAACCGUGUACGUACAAGCAGUGGGAGCACGCUUAGGCGUGUGACUGCGUACCUUUUGUAUAAUGGGUCAGCGACUUAUAUUCUGUAGCAAGGUUAACCGAAUAGGGGAGCCGAAGGGAAACCGAGUCUUAACUGGGCGUUAAGUUGCAGGGUAUAGACCCGAAACCCGGUGAUCUAGCCAUGGGCAGGUUGAAGGUUGGGUAACACUAACUGGAGGACCGAACCGACUAAUGUUGAAAAAUUAGCGGAUGACUUGUGGCUGGGGGUGAAAGGCCAAUCAAACCGGGAGAUAGCUGGUUCUCCCCGAAAGCUAUUUAGGUAGCGCCUCGUGAAUUCAUCUCCGGGGGUAGAGCACUGUUUCGGCAAGGGGGUCAUCCCGACUUACCAACCCGAUGCAAACUGCGAAUACCGGAGAAUGUUAUCACGGGAGACACACGGCGGGUGCUAACGUCCGUCGUGAAGAGGGAAACAACCCAGACCGCCAGCUAAGGUCCCAAAGUCAUGGUUAAGUGGGAAACGAUGUGGGAAGGCCCAGACAGCCAGGAUGUUGGCUUAGAAGCAGCCAUCAUUUAAAGAAAGCGUAAUAGCUCACUGGUCGAGUCGGCCUGCGCGGAAGAUGUAACGGGGCUAAACCAUGCACCGAAGCUGCGGCAGCGACGCUUAUGCGUUGUUGGGUAGGGGAGCGUUCUGUAAGCCUGCGAAGGUGUGCUGUGAGGCAUGCUGGAGGUAUCAGAAGUGCGAAUGCUGACAUAAGUAACGAUAAAGCGGGUGAAAAGCCCGCUCGCCGGAAGACCAAGGGUUCCUGUCCAACGUUAAUCGGGGCAGGGUGAGUCGACCCCUAAGGCGAGGCCGAAAGGCGUAGUCGAUGGGAAACAGGUUAAUAUUCCUGUACUUGGUGUUACUGCGAAGGGGGGACGGAGAAGGCUAUGUUGGCCGGGCGACGGUUGUCCCGGUUUAAGCGUGUAGGCUGGUUUUCCAGGCAAAUCCGGAAAAUCAAGGCUGAGGCGUGAUGACGAGGCACUACGGUGCUGAAGCAACAAAUGCCCUGCUUCCAGGAAAAGCCUCUAAGCAUCAGGUAACAUCAAAUCGUACCCCAAACCGACACAGGUGGUCAGGUAGAGAAUACCAAGGCGCUUGAGAGAACUCGGGUGAAGGAACUAGGCAAAAUGGUGCCGUAACUUCGGGAGAAGGCACGCUGAUAUGUA
rnacentral:rRNA from 1 species